CAGCCGCCGCGGUAAUACAGAGGGUGCGAGCGUUAAUCGGAUUUACUGGGCGUAAAGCGCGCGUAGGCGGUUACUCAAGUCAGAGGUGAAAGCCCGGGGCUCAACCCCGGAACUGCCUUUGAAACUAGGUGACUAGAAUCUUGGAGAGGUCAGUGGAAUUCCGAGUGUAGAGGUGAAAUUCGUAGAUACUCGGAAGAACACCAGUGGCGAAGGCGACUGACUGGACAAGUAUUGACGCUGAGGUGCGAAAGCGUGGGGAGCAAACAGGAUUAGAUACCCCAGUAGUCCCUGUCUCUUAUAC
rnacentral:rRNA from 1 species